CGGCUAGAAGAGCAUGACAUAUCCUGUGUGUCGAUAUUUGCUCCUCGGACCCUGCAAAUUUAUGAUGAGACACGCAACUCUCACAGGCCGUACCAAUAUCCGCAGCUGGUCUCAAGUGAAGAGUCUCUAGUCGAUAGAAUAAUGUAGGUAAGGGAAGUCGGCAAAUUAGAUCCGUAACUUCGGGAUAAGGAUUGGCUCUGAAGAUUGAGAUAGUCGGGCUUGAUUGGGAAACAAUAACAUGGUUUAUGUGCUCGUUCUGGGUAAAUAGAGUUUCUAGCAUUUAUGUUAGUUACUUGUUCCCCGGAUAGUUUAGUUACGUAGCCAAUUGUGGAACUUUCUUGCUAAAAUUUUUAAGAAUACUAUUUGGGUUAAACCAAUUAGUUCUUAUCAAUUAUAACGAUUAUCAAUUAACAAUCAAUUCAGAACUGGCACGGACUUGGGGAAUCCGACUGUCUAAUUAAAACAAAGCAUUGUGAUGGCCCUAGCGGGUGUUGACACAAUGUGAUUUCUGCCCAGUGCUCUGAAUGUCAAAGUGAAGAAAUUCAAGUAAGCGCGGGUCAACGGCGGGAGUAACUAUGACUCUCUUAAGGUUUGAUUGAUAGCGAAGGGUCUCCUCAGCAAAUAUGAUAGUCAUAUCAUUAGCGUCCAGGUUAUGAGAGGCAGUCUCGGUUGUUUUAAACAGUUCAUGUACCUGAGCGGGUUUUCCCGAGAUUGGACUUAGCUAAAACGUUUGGUUCAAAACAUUUGCUUGCUGUCUUGGCAUAACAUCAAUAAAGGCAUAAACAUCGCAAAUAAUGGUAAUAUAUAAAUUGGCUAUGAGGAUGGUUUUAGUACGUAGGCGUUGCGGAACUUCGGUUCAGAUAGAGCAAUGAAUCGUGCAUGCUAGGAAACUGAAGUGUUGACAGACCUAGUAUCUUUCGAUAGAUUUCCAUACCUCCGCGAUCAAAAAAAAAAAAAAAAAAAAAAAUAGCCAAAUGCCUCGUCAUCUAAUUAGUGACGCGCAUGAAUGGAUUAACGAGAUUCCUACUGUCCCUAUCUACUAUCUAGCGAAACCACAGCCAAGGGAACGGGCUUGGAAUAAUUAGCGGGGAAAGAAGACCCUUUUGAGCUUGACUCUAAUCUGGCAGUGUAAGGAGACAUAAGAGGUGUAGAAUAAGUGGGAGAUAUUAGACCUCGGUUUGGUAUCGUCAAUGAAAUACCACUACUCUUAUUGUUUCCUUACUUACUUGAUUAAAUGGAACGUGUAUCAUUUCCUAGCCAUUAUACGGAUAUAUUUAUUAUAUCUUAUGGUAUUGGGUUUUGAUGCAAGCUUCUUGAUCAAAGUAUCACGAGUUUGUUAUAUAAUCGCAAACAAAUUCUUUAAUAAAACGAUGCAUUUAUGUAUUUUUGAUUUGAAAAUUUGGUAUAACUCCAAUUACUCAGGUAUGAUCCAAUUCAAGGACAUUGCCAGGUAGGGAGUUUGACUGGGGCGGUCACUCUCUACUCGAAAUAAUAACGGAGGUGUCCCAAGGCCAGCUCAGUGCGGAA
rnacentral:ncRNA from 1 species